AUUGAACGCUAGCGGGAUGCUUUCCACAUGCAAGUCGAACGAGGGGCGGACGGGUGAGUAAUAUAUCGGAACGUGCCCAGUAGCGGGGGAUACCUACUCGAAAGAGUGGCUAAUACCGCAUACUCUUGGUGCGGCCGAUAUCGGAGUAGCUAGUGGGUGGGGUAAAGGCUAACCAAGGCAACGACCCGUAGCUGGGUUGAGAGGACAACGGGCCACCCGGGGAUUGAGACACGGCCCAGACUCCUACGGGAGGCAGCAGUGGGGAAUUUUGGCCAAUGGGGGAAACCCUGAUCCAGCCAGCCCGCUUGGAUGAGAAGUCCUUCGGGUUGUAAAGUACUUUUGGCAGAGAAGCGGUAUCUGCAGAAUAAGCACCGGCUAACUACGUGCCAGCAGCCGCGGUAAUAC
rnacentral:rRNA from 1 species